rnacentral:rRNA from 1 species
UACGUAGGGGGCAAGCGUUGUCCGGAUUUACUGGGCGUAAAGCGCGCGUAGGCGGUCCGGUAAGUCCGCUGUGAAAGUCGGGGGCUCAACCCUCGGAUGCCGGUGGAUACUGUCGGGCUUGAGUACGGAAGAGGCGAGUGGAAUUCCUGGUGUAGCGGUGAAAUGCGCAGAUAUCAGGAGGAACACCAAUUGCGAAGGCAGCUCGCUGGGACGUUACUGACGCUGAGACGCGAAAGCGUGGGGAGCAAACAGG